rnacentral:rRNA from 1 species
AUGAACGCUGGCGGCGUGCCUAAUACAUGCAAGUCGAGCGAACAGAUGAGGAGCUUGCUCCUCUGACGUUAGCGGCGGACGGGUGAGUAACACGUGGAUAACCUACCUAUAAGACUGGGAUAACUUCGGGAAAACGGAGCUAAUACCGGAUAAUACAUUGAACCGCAUGGUUCAAUAGUGAAAGACGGUUUUGCUGUCACUUAUAGAUGGAUCCGCGCCGCAUUAGCUAGUUGGUAAGGUAACGGCUUACCAAGGCAACGAUGCGUAGCCGACCUGAGAGGGUGAUCGGCCACACUGGAACUGAGACACGGUCCAGACUCCUACGGGAGGCAGCAGUAGGGAAUCUUCCGCAAUGGGCGAAAGCCUGACGGAGCAACGCCGCGUGAGUGAUGAAGGUCUUCGGAUCGUAAAACUCUGUUAUUAGGGAAGAACAAAUGUGUAAGUAACUAUGCACGUCUUGACGGUACCUAAUCAGAAAGCCACGGCUAACUACGUG